rnacentral:rRNA from 1 species
AACGUAGGACGCGAGCGUUAUCCGGAGUUACUGGGCGUAAAGCGCGGGCAGGCGGCCCGGCAAGUGGGAUGUGAAAGCGCCCGGCUAAACCGGGCGAGGCCAUUCCAAACUGCGGGGCUGGAGGGCAGUAGAGGUGGGUGGAAUUCCGGGUGGAGUGGUGAAAUGCGCAGAUAUCAGGAGGAACACCGGUGGCGAAGGCGGGUCUCUGGGCCGAUACUGACGCUGAGGAGCGAAAGCGUGGGGAGCGAACAGG